UGCGCAAGUGCAUUCUUGCACGGGUAGUCUGACAGAACAGCGAAUAGGUUUGCUGCCUAGUGAAGAAUUUGAAAUCUAGUAAAAUAAGUAAUCAAAAUAAGAAAUACUUUAAGAUUGAAUACGUUUCGCCCAUGUUUUAUUUCUGUAAAUUGAGCGGAGACUGAUAAAUUAAUCGCGGAACUGUUUGGGGAUAAAGGUGGGGAGAUGUCAUACCACUCGUCUUCUCGCAGCUCUUCUCGUAACACCGAUUGCAAGGUCUAUGUUGGCGACUUAGGCAACGGGGCUGCCAAGGGUGAGCUAGAGCGGGCGUUCAGUUACUAUGGCCCUUUACGCACGGUUUGGGUGGCCAGGAACCCCCCAGGUUUCGCCUUUGUGGAGUAUGAGGAUGCCCGUGACGCAGAGGACGCAGUUAAAGGCAUGGAUGGAAAGGUGCUGUGCGGCUCUCGGAUCCGUGUGGAGCUGUCCACUGGCAUGUCACGGAAGACCAAGCAUGGCCGCCCCAGCCGCCGCCACUUUGACCCUCAAGACCGCUGCUACCAGUGUGGGGACAGGGGCCACUAUGCCUACGACUGCUACCGUUUCAGCAAGAGGGGAGGAGGUCGUCGGAGCAGAUCACGCUCUCGCUCCCGGUCUCGUUCCGUCUCCAGGUCACGUGGCAGCCGCUAUCGAUCCCGCUCCCGCAGCAAUGACCGCAGCAGGCACCGCUCCCCAUCUUAUCCCAAACGUAGGAAGAGGUCUGGUUCCCCUGUGCGGUCAAAGUCUAGGACCUCUGUUAGGAGUCGUUCUCGGUCGGGGUCCCGGGCCAGAGGGCGAUCGGCGUCUCGCUCUCGCUCCAGAUCCCGCUCUCCCAGCCAUAAGAGGAAUAGGUCCCUCUCCUAGAAUGACCAGGCCAGACCUUGAUUAGCUUCAGAGAGUCGCACACAGAGCUGAUGAGCCUAUACUCCGAGACAGAGGGGCUGUUUGGGUGACGGCUGGGGGGAGCGGGGCUCUUCUCUUUUCUCUUCUCCCUCAGAUCCAGCCUCAAUUUGAUUAGCUUCAGAGGGUGAGAGAACCUCAAAAAUCCAAAAGAGAAAUCUGUCGUGAUCAGACUCCAGUGACCAAUCGCAUCAGGCCUUUUUUUAAAGAGAGAGUGUGGGGAGUCGACUGACUGCACAAGCACUUACCAGGGUCAUCCCUUGCGGUGUUAACGUCCUCCCGGAGGGUGACAAAGGCUGACCAGAAAUCAGCCUACACCACGCUGGUUAAAGAGGUCGUCCGACGCACGUUUUGACGAGACACAUCCAUCCUACGCGCGCACACACAGUUGUUCCACCCACCCCACUCCCUCCCAGAACCCACGCACCACAGACCUGAACGCUGAGCCGAGUUCAGUCGACCAGUUAAGGCCCCCUCCCUACAGAGCCCGGCCUCUUGCUUAGCUUCUGAGAGGGUGAGAAAGGAGAGCUGACGAGAGAUCAGACUUCAAGACCCUCCAAGUGUGUCUUCGAGUUCUAGCAUCCGUCGCUUCUCUGUACAUGUUGUUUCUGCCACUGUCUCCAAAGUCGUUCCAGAUCUCCAAGCCAGAAAAAGAGCCCCACCCCAGGCGAAGAUUGAUUUGAAGACUAAACUCGUCCCCAUCCCCCUCCAACCAACUGGCUUUAGCCUUGCAGCUAUUUGUUUUGUCUUUGUUCCCUGCAUUGAUUAGAAUCUACCCCUUCCUUUUCUGAUGCUGUGUAAUUACUCUACAGCACAGGUGUCAAACUCAUUCCACGGGGGCCGAGUGUCUGCGGGUUUUCGCUCCUCCCUUGUACUUGAUUGAUGAAUUAACAUCACUAAUUAGUUAGGAACUCCCCACACCUGGUUGUCUAGGGCUUUAUUGAAAGGAAAAACCAAAAACCUGCAGACACUAGGCCCUCCGUGGAAUGAGUUUGACACCCCUGCUCUACAGGAUUAGCUUUAUAUCUAACCCUGCAUGCCUUACAUGAUGUCACAUUCCUAAAAUAUCUCUCCCAUAUGUCCAAUUUUGUUUUAUUUAGCAAAACAGUUCAAAUAUCUAAUUUCAGAAGUGGGAUUUGUGAACCAGAACUUUGUAUUUGUUCUUAUUUCCUAUACUAUAUUCAGUGUGGCAUUGUGUUCAAGAGCUGUAACAGAUGUACUUGAAGUUUUGCUUUCCCUGGCUUAUGACACUAGCAGAUUUUGGAAUAAAUCUUGACACGUUAAUUCAGUGUUUUUGUUUUAAACAUUGAGAA